AUGAACGCUAGCGACAGGCUUAACACAUGCAAGUCGAGGGGUAACAGGGUAGCAAUACCGCUGACGACCGGCGCACGGGUGAGUAACGCGUAUGCAACCUGCCUAUAACUGUGGAAUAGCUCCCGUGAAAGGGGAAUUAACACCGCAUAACACUAUUGAUUCGCAUGGAUUGGUAGUUAAAUGUAGCGAUACAGGUUAUAGAUGGGCAUGCGUGACAUUAGCUAGUUGGUGAGGUAACGGCUCACCAAGGCUACGAUGUCUAGGGGUUCUGAGAGGAAGGUCCCCCACACUGGUACUGAGACACGGACCAGACUCCUACGGGAGGCAGCAGUGAGGAAUAUUGGUCAAUGGGCGCAAGCCUGAACCAGCCAUGUCGCGUGCAGGAAGACUGCCCUAUGGGUUGUAAACUGCUUUUAUAGUAGAAGAAACACAUCUACGUGUAGAUGUCUGCCAGUAUACUAUGAAUAAGCAUCGGCUAACUCCGUGCCAGCAGCCGC
rnacentral:rRNA from 1 species